rnacentral:rRNA from 1 species
AAGGUCCCAAGCGUUGUUCGGAAUCACUGGGCGUAAAGCGUGCGUAGGCGGCGCGGUAAGUCAGAUGUGAAAUCUCUGGGCUCAACCCGGAAACUGCAUCCGAUACUGCCGCGCUAGAGUAAUGGAGGGGUAGCUGGAAUUCUCGGUGUAGCAGUGAAAUGCGUAGAUAUCGAGAGGAACACUCGUGGCGAAGGCGAGCUACUGGACAUUUACUGACGCUGAGGCACGAAGGCCAGGGUAGCGAAAGGG